rnacentral:lncRNA from 1 species
GAGCAAAGCUUGGGGGAGGAGAAGAGAGAGUGUGUGAAUUGAACUUGGGUCCUUGUGCUUUCGAAGCAAGCGGCGGAACCACUGAGCUAAAUCCCCGGCCCUAUGACCCGUUUUUGACAAGAUUUCCUGGGUGUCGUCUGGGUGCCUGGCCCAGUUCCAGCAGAGGGAUGAAGAGGAAGAACACUGUCCCUCCAGAGCAGUCACAGUGCACUCUGUGCUACAGGGGCAGCAUGUUCCUUCAGGCAAAUGUGCAUAUCAGUGGCUCAAUAAAUAGGAAUGCAGUUAAAUGAGGCACAGACAGCAGGAUAAUAAAAAGAAAUUAGUGACUUCCACAAAGGGAGCAGCACAGCAGCUCACAGGUGUGUGGUGAUGUGGAACUAGUUCCACGUUCUAAUUGUCUAGUGAGCUCCCUGCUCAAGUCAAAUUCUGGACACAGACUGCAGCUGCUUUCUCUCAUAUGUGGUGGAGUGGUGUUAGAGAGGUAGAAAGUGAUUUGGAUUUAACCCAGCACAGACUGGUUAUGAGAAAAGAGAGAGCAUUUUGCAUUUCUUGCCCCAAAGCCUGUCAGUGCUAUCAACCUGGCUAUACUCCAAGAAUGAUGUCACCUACAGUUGUCCAAUUUGCACAUCACUCCCUCAAAUCAAAACACCACACCUGGCUGAAAUUACUUUCUUGAUUAAGCAUUUUAGGACUUUUUUUUUUUUUUUAGUGGCAGUGGUGGUGAUGGAGCCAGAGAGCACUGAAUUAGGUCCUCAGUCCUUUCUACUUUUUAAAUUUUAAUUUGAGACAACAUCUUGAUAAAUUGCUCAAGCUGGCCUUAAAUUUUUGACC